rnacentral:rRNA from 1 species
CCUACGGGUGGCUGCAGUGGGGAAUAUUGGACAAUGGGGGGAACCCUGAUCCAGCCAUGCCGUGUGUGUGAAGAAGGCCCUCGGGUUGUAAAGCACUUUCAGUGAGGAAGAACGCCUGGUGGUUAAUACCCAUCAGGAAAGACAUCACUCACAGAAGAAGCACCGGCUAACUCCGUGCCAGCAGCCGCGGUAAUACGGAGGGUGCGAGCGUUAAUCGGAAUUACUGGGCGUAAAGCGCGCGUAGGUGGCUUGAUAAGCCGGUUGUGAAAGCCCCGGGCUCAACCUGGGAACGGCAUCCGGAACUGUCAAGCUAGAGUGCAGGAGAGGAAGGUAGAAUUCCCGGUGUAGCGGUGAAAUGCGUAGAGAUCGGGAGGAAUACCAGUGGCGAAGGCGGCCUUCUGGACUGACACUGACACUGAGGUGCGAAAGCGUGGGUAGCAAACAGGAUUAGAUACCCGAGUAGUC